AGCAUACCCAGCUCCAGGCAGCCAUGGACUGUAGAGUUGAGGACUGUAUUGUGUUUGUAGGAAAGGCUUGCAGCUGUGGCUCAUUGGCAGCUGGCAGAGCUCUCAUCAGUGAUUUGAGCACUGGAAUACCUUCCCUGCAUGUCCUUCUAUUGCAAAACCAGGUAAGUAACAUAUUAGUUGGCAAACUACACGUGAGCUCUUGCCCAUAGUGAAUUUGGAGCA
rnacentral:lncRNA from 1 species